rnacentral:lncRNA from 1 species
GGGAAGGUUUGGGUUGGGUUGGGUUGGGUUGGGUUGGGUUGGGUUGUGUGUGCCACUGUGAACAAAUGUGGAGUGCUUAAUUUGGCUCUCCCAUUUUUUCUCUUUUUAUUAUAUAAAAUUUCUUUGGAUUUGGAAAACAUUUUUCAUCUCCGUUGGAGCAACUUGGGCAAUAGCCCAUGUUUCGGGUUCAGGAAGGGGAAGAAGCUCAAGAGAACACAGACAAGAGAAAGAGGUCGUGAAAGACGACAAUGCGCAAGCCUGAGGAGAAUGUGGCUCAAUUGUCUUCUGGUCAGUUGAUACGAUUCUCUCUCUCUCUCUCUCUCUCUCUCUCUCUCUCUCUCUCUCUCUCUCUUUAUUUUCCAUUGGAACACCAGUUUGAGAAUGCUAUCAGUUUGUUUCCCGCCAUUAAACUUCAGAGUCAAGACAGUGUUCUUGAUUCUUUUGUGUUGUUUUGUGAUUUGGGUGGUGCUAUAAUAUCGUAAUCAGUUGGCUUUUUAGAUUUUGCGCCUUUAGCUCAUCGCGGGUACUAUAACUGAAUGCGAUCAUGUUCUUGGAGUUUCUUGUUUUCUCAAUUUGGGAUUUUUGUUUUUCAAAUUUACCAGUAACCACCUUCUGUUAUCUGGUUUCAAUUGAAAAUGACAUCUUUUCUGAAAUCCCAAGUUUCAAUCUUUUCUGAAAAUAUUAAAAAUAUGGAUUAGAACAAGUGUGCAAAAAUAUUCAAGAUUGACACUUGUUAAGGGUUUUAUACUUUUCAGCUGGGCUUGUCUAGGAUCAUGACAAAGCUAGCCAUAGUUUCAAGGUUACUCACUGCCAGUACCUAAAUAGGAUAAUGAAAUGACAGCAGGGACUAUUGGAGAACUCAUAUCAACGCUAAAUCUUAGCCAAGCUGUUUACAGUUGCAAUGUAUUUCUAGGAGAAUUGCUUCACGUAUCUCCAUACUCUAUAGUACUGCUUGUGCUUGGGAGCCUAUGACAACUUGGGCUGAUCUGUCUGAUGUGAAUUAGCAACAAUAAUGGUGAGGGAGGAGCUUUCCAUCCUUUGGUUAGCUAACAAAGGUAAGCAGGCAACUCUUGACAGAAUCCUUGUCUAGCACUUAGGAGCACUUGUAUAGACUCCAUAGGCUAUUAGAUUGUGUGUUUUGUGUCAGAUUUUGCUGGAAUCUCAUGAGCACUAAUUCUUUGAUUGCUCCUUUUGUGAUGAUGAUAUAUAGGACUCUAGAGUGCGUGGUGAAUAUGGGAUCAUUUCUGGUCUCAUCUUUGUUAAUUGGGCUGCUGUGCUGCUCAAUGGAAAGGUAAACAAGUGCAUUAUGUUAUGUAGUAAAAAAGGCUUUGCCUGGCUGGCUGGGAUUGUGGAUCAUAUCUGGAGGUGGAGAAAUUAUAGGAUUUUGGGAAUGAGAGCAAAGCUUCUCACGGCUGUGCUGUGUUCGACUUGUAAUAUUUCGAGUCUUGCUGUGGAUGGCCAAAGCUUGUGCUGCUCAAAUUGUGUGAGCCAUUUAUGCAGUAAUCUUCCUGUAAUUUUGAAAGCUGCUGGAUUCUUCCUUUGUGUCUGUUCAAAUUGUGUUGCCCUCUGCUCUGUGCAAGGCUUUGCACUGUGUCUGUUCUGUUGUGUAUACUAUUACUACUUAAUUAAUACUUAUAGUGGAAGUGGUUAUUGACGCUGUCAGUUAUUUCUGUUUUGUUACUUAGACCUUGUAUUAUAUUAAGAAAAGGCACAUAGUCUCAUUUGCAAUUUGCAAUUGGCACGAGAGGGGAAUGCAUAUCAUGUAUUAAUUUGCACAACUGACUAGGCUUUUUUUGCCUAUUAAAGUUACCAUACCAACCCAAUAGCGACUUUUUUGAAUUUACCAAUUCAAUUCCAUUCCUGAAUCUAAUCUCGCGUGCAUCCCUCAGUUUCAUGUCUAAAAUAUUUUUAAUUCCUUACCUUCUUUAAUCCAUGAGGUCAAACUCCUUGCGCUGCUCCCACCGAUGACAGUCAACAACUCCCUUCUCUCCUCCCUCAUCUUCCUCCCUCCCUCUUACCAAGCUCACUGAGGUUUGAUGUCCCAUCCCGAGGCUGAUUAUAUAAGUGAACAUAUGCUUCUGUUAAAGUGAAUUAAGUAUCAAUAAUAAGAAGAGUAAUGAGAGGGCAACAAUGCUGUAUAGUUUGAAAUCUCAAGGAUUGCCUUUAUUUCUAUUUCCCGAGUCCAAAAAAACAUUGCACGCAAUAUGAUUUCUAAUUAUCUUUCUUGAUCCUUUUCCAGGUUUUGGUUGAUGUACAUGCAGACCCCAACUUUCUGGUGGCAUAUGGUAAUGCUCAAUUGUUUGACCCAAUUCCUUUUCGGAUUUAAAUUUCUAUUCCACUGCUGUUGUCCAUAAAGCUGCAUUUUGAGGCACUAUAAUCAGCUUCUCUAUUUAUGUUGCCACAGAAUCUCUUUUUAUGUUGCUAAUUGGGUCUGCUUGGUUGUUAACCUUUGUGCAGGAUCAAUUAGUCUGUAACAGGAAUGGUUCUCGAUUCAAUUUUUGUCAUGUUGGGAUCAUAGUUAGUGUCGAAUUUUGUAAAUCUGGAGGAAUUCUAGGCUAUUUAUUACAAAAGCUUUGAACAAUUGGUAAAAGAAAUAAAGGCUUUGAACAAUUCUAGGAUAUUCUAGUCAUGGUGCAAGGUCUGUCACUCAGUACUUUCACUGCGUCACGUAAUGGUGGGCUGUGUGGAUCCAUGCCUUCGUGGAGGAAGCAUUUCAAAUUGACGAGGAAACCCGGAUAAGCUCUGGUAUUGAAAGGCAUGGUAGCUGCCACCUGUGCCAUCAAAACUUGUUCUUUGGAGGUAACCAGAAUAUGUCAAGAGUCUCGAGACAAAGGAGCGUGAGGGUGGAACCGGGGUGGCUGUAUAAAGGGGGUGAUCAAGGGUUCAGUGCAAGCUCCGAGCGAAGCGAGAGUGCUGAUGAGGAUAUUCUGAUAUUCUUUUUCCUGCUCGACCUGGCAACUCGAGUACAGGUUUGAUAGGGAUCCUUUUAUAGUUUUCAUAUUGUAGUAGGUUAAGUGGUACAGAAUAUCUGUCAAUUUCUCUCGAUUUUGUUAGUCUAACAAGCAUUUGCCUUUUUUGGGGGUGCAUUGGUGAGAAGAGUCUAUUAGUGCAGACUUGGUCAAGUUUACUUGAUGUGGCGAUGAUUCCAAAUCAAAUAGAGAUGGACUCCAGCACAGUUAAUAACUUAUGAUGGAACAUGUAAAAAUACACGUCAAAAAUAUCAAACAGGGAUACCUACUUCUGAU